AGCUCCAUUAGCGUAUAUUAAAGUUGUUGCAGUUAAAAAGCUCGUAGUUGGAUUUCUGAGUGCACUGGCCAGGCCGGGGCCGUCAAGGCCCUCGCGCCCGGUCCAGGCCUCAUGCUCGGGUCGGUCCGGUCUGGCAUUAGGUUGUCGGGUCGGGGAAGCCCGUCGUUUACUGUGAAAAAAUUAGAGUGUUCAAAGCAGGCUUAGGCCCUUGAAUACAUUAGCAUGGAAUAAUGAGAUAAGACCGUGGUGUUUUAUUUUGUUGGUUUGCACGCCAAGGUAAUGAUUAACAGGGACAGUUGGGGGUAUUCGUAUUCAAUUGUCAGAGGUGAAAUUCUUGGAUUUAUGGAAGACGAACUACUGCGAAAGCAUUUACCAAGGAUGUUUUCAUUAAUCAAGAACG
rnacentral:rRNA from 1 species